UUGGAGGGCAAGUCUGGUGCCAGCAGCCGCGGUAAUUCCAGCUCCAAUAGCGUAUAUUAAAGUUGUUGCAGUUAAAAGUUCGUAGUUGAAUUUCGGGUUAGUAGGCUGGUUAUGGAACUCGCGCGCUGCAGGUUUAUGUAACUGGUCUUACUAAUUCCUCCUUCCUGAUGAACUGUAGUGCCAUUAAUUUGGUGUUGCAGAGAAUCUGGACUGUUACUUUGAAAAAUUAGAGUGUUUAAAGCAGGCUAACGCUUGAAUACAUUAGCAUGGAAUAAUGAAAUAGGACGUUCGAUCCUAUUUUGUUGGUUUCUAGGAUUGACGUAAUGAUUAAUAGGGAUAGUUGGGGGCAUUAGUAUUCAAUUGUCAGAGGUGAAAUUCUUGGAUUUAUUGAAGACUAACUACUGCGAAAGCAUUUGCCAAGGAUGUUUUCAUUAAUCAAGAACGAAAGUUACGGGAUCGAAGACGAUCAGAUACCGUCGUAGUCUUAACCAUAAACUAUGCCGACUAGGGAUCGGAUGAUGUUAAUUUUUAA
rnacentral:rRNA from 1 species